GCUGGUCAAUUAUUUUUCAAUUGGCUGCCAUUUAUAGGGCUAUUUAGGUAAUUUUGUUAGUCACAAGUCAUCUAAUUUUUGCAGGUAAUUAAUGGGGUGGGGGCAAUGUCGGUGAGUUUUUGUUGAAUAAUCGUCAUUUAAUAGUUUAUUCAUGCAGAAAUUAUAUACACCUACGGCUGAUGCACAGGUUCUUAAUUUGGAAUCAAUGCCCAUUUCUUUCAUUCAUUAAAUUUGUCUGCAUGAUCAUGACAUAUUAACCACAACCCACCCAUGACUAAGAAUCCCUGUAGGCCUGUACAUUGAAAAAAUGCCAUGUAAUUUAAUCAUGCAUAAGGUUCUCAGGUUUUCUGAUUAGGUAAAUUUUUUGGAGUAUUGUUGGGCUUUAUCUAUGUUUGUAAAUGGUAGGAUUUUUUAGCUUCCUGGGUCUGUAAAUGAAGCUGCGAGAGCGGUGGGUCCAAAUCAAGAAAAAGUGGAGUAUGUUCACAUUAUAUUAUAGUCAGAGGCUCGUGCAUAGCGUUCUUUCUUCUUUACCCACUGUAGGGCGGCUAGUGAGAUGUCCCCAUCUUCUCGAUGUUUAGUGUCUCUUUCAUUUGAGACUUUAGAAAGAAGGAAAGAUGAAUUCUUUCUUUCUUUUUUCUUUACCUUGUAAAUUUUCAUGUUCAGUGGCGCCAUAAUUUUAAAAUUUCGUUCAAAUUCAAGUUCUUAUAGCAAAAGCAGUGUUGUACCAACAACUAUUAAACAAAACAAAUUCAGUUUAUGCCUUAUAAUUAGAUGUUCAACCUUCAAAAUUCCAAUUAAUUUUUAAAUUGAGGGCAUAUUGUAGUAAUGCUAUCUUUGUCAAUCUCUAAAUAUAAUUAUUGAUUAGUAUUUUUCAUGAACAUUUUGAAGGCAAGAAGGGCAUUGCGAGCAUU
rnacentral:misc_RNA from 1 species